rnacentral:rRNA from 1 species
CAUCCUGGCUCAGGACGAACGCUGGCGGCGUGCCUAAUACAUGCAAGUCGAACGAACUCUGGUAUUGAUUGGUGCUUGCAUCAUGAUUUACAUUUGAGUGAGUGGCGAACUGGUGAGUAACACGUGGGAAACCUGCCCAGAAGCGGGGGAUAACACCUGGAAACAGAUGCUAAUACCGCAUAACAACUUGGACCGCAUGGUCCGAGCUUGAAAGAUGGCUUCGGCUAUCACUUUUGGAUGGUCCCGCGGCGUAUUAGCUAGAUGGUGGGGUAACGGCUCACCAUGGCAAUGAUACGUAGCCGACCUGAGAGGGUAAUCGGCCACAUUGGGACUGAGACACGGCCCAAACUCCUACGGGAGGCAGCAGUAGGGAAUCUUCCACAAUGGACGAAAGUCUGAUGGAGCAACGCCGCGUGAGUGAAGAAGGGUUUCGGCUCGUAAAACUCUGUUGUUAAAGAAGAACAUAUCUGAGAGUAACUGUUCAGGUAUUGACGGUAUUUAACCAGAAAGCCACGGCUAACUACGUGCCAGCAGCCGCGGUAAUACGUAGGUGGCAAGCGUUGUCCGGAUUUAUUGGGCGUAAAGCGAGCGCAGGCGGUUUUUUAAGUCUGAUGUGAAAGCCUUCGGCUCAACCGAAGAAGUGCAUCGGAAACUGGGAAACUUGAGUGCAGAAGAGGACAGUGGAACUCCAUGUGUAGCGGUGAAAUGCGUAGAUAUAUGGAAGAACACCAGUGGCGAAGGCGGCUGUCUGGUCUGUAACUGACGCUGAGGCUCGAAAGUAUGGGUAGCAAACAGGAUUAGAUACCCUGGUAGUCCAUACCGUAAACGAUGAAUGCUAAGUGUUGGAGGGUUUCCGCCCUUCAGUGCUGCAGCUAACGCAUUAAGCAUUCCGCCUGGGGAGUACGGCCGCAAGGCUGAAACUCAAAGGAAUUGACGGGGGCCCGCACAAGCGGUGGAGCAUGUGGUUUAAUUCGAAGCUACGCGAAGAACCUUACCAGGUCUUGACAUACUAUGCAAAUCUAAGAGAUUAGACGUUCCCUUCGGGGACAUGGAUACAGGUGGUGCAUGGUUGUCGUCAGCUCGUGUCGUGAGAUGUUGGGUUAAGUCCCGCAACGAGCGCAACCCUUAUUAUCAGUUGCCAGCAUUAAGUUGGGCACUCUGGUGAGACUGCCGGUGACAAACCGGAGGAAGGUGGGGAUGACGUCAAAUCAUCAUGCCCCUUAUGACCUGGGCUACACACGUGCUACAAUGGAUGGUACAACGAGUUGCGAACUCGCGAGAGUAAGCUAAUCUCUUAAAGCCAUUCUCAGUUCGGAUUGUAGGCUGCAACUCGCCUACAUGAAGUCGGAAUCGCUAGUAAUCGCGGAUCAGCAUGCCGCGGUGAAUACGUUCCCGGGCCUUGUACACACCGCCCGUCACACCAUGAGAGUUUGUAACACCCAAAGUCGGUGGGGUAACCUUUUAGGAACCAGCCGCCUAAGGUGGGACAGAUGAUUAGGGUGAAGUCGA